UUUUUUCUAUAUUUUUUUUGAUGUUGCUUUGACCAGGGCUUGAACCCAGGUGCAGCGGAGUGGAAGCGCGCACCGCCAACCACCACACCACAGCGGUCGACGAUUUAAAAUUUAGGCUAUUAUAAUUACAAUAAUAUAGCCGAAAAUAUAUAUGUAUGUAUAAAUAUGUAUGUAUAUGUAUGCGUGUUAAUAGCACAUCUUUAGAGGUCUUAACACAUGCUAACUAAAUAGUUAUCAUGCAGGUAAUAGUUAACCUAAAAUACAUAAGUAUAAAAACCAAGGGAACCAAAAACAAUUAAUUAAUUAGCACACUACAAGUGAAGUUAUUAAUACUCCGUUUGUAGUUAGCUGAAAACAAGCUAAUUUUUUUGAGACAUCAUCAUGUAAAAGUAGUAAGUUGAAUGCAACGUAGAGUAGUCGAGGCGUACACUCAGAGAAAAACGGCGUUCUAAAGUCCAGCACCAGCGGCCUCCUUUUUCAUAUUUUGUGUUCCUAUUUCCUUGUUCUUUAAACAGGAUCAUUUGUUCUUGAAAAAUCAGUAUCCGUUCUUCAAGCAAGAACACUAUGCUUGAAUUAAGAACAAUGUUUCGGAAUUAAGAAUCUAUGGUCUUAAUAUUCGAACAUAUGUUAUGUAAAAAAAAUAAAAUAUUUCAUUGUUCAGCAUGAUAACGUUUAUGUACUUUGCUAUUCAAUUGACGUUAAACGGUUUCAUCAACAUUUACAAUCUUACGAAGUUGGGUCAGUUAAAGAUAAUCUUUGUUUAAAGAACAUUGAUGAAUUUCUAAGUUUUCCGAUACAUGUUUAUCCUAUGAAUAAUGGAAAAAUGUACUUUAGAAUUAAAUAUAUUUAAGAUACUGGUAAAAAAAAACGUAAAAUAAAAUGCUUAAAAAUAUUUACUGUAAUAUAAUUCGUUUUAAUUUUUAUUGUGUUAAAUUUUAAGUGUUCUUAAAUUGAGCACAUACGUUCUAAGAACAAGCACAAAUUGCUCUUAGAUUGAACACAAAAUGUUCUCAAAAUAAGCACAGACCGUUCUUUAAAUGGAAAAAAAGUUAUCAGAACAAGCUCAAAUUGUUCUUAGAAUGAACUCAAAAUGUUCUCAAAGCAAGCCCAUAGCGUUCUUUAUUUGAAAAGAAAACGUUCUCAAAGCAAUCCUUAAAUGUUCUUGCAAUGCAAACGGCGGUCUUAUAAAAGUCGUUCUUAAAA